CCCAGCCUGCCGUGGGAAGGACACUUAGCCUCACUUGGCUUAGGGGGUGGGACGGGAGAGGACAGGCACAGACCUGCAGGCCGGUGGGGGCAAGGGGGAGUUGCUGGGUGAGGGUGUUCUGAGCAGAGUGACAUUGAGUUCAAAGCAAUUUCUGGAAGGCAGGAGGACGAAUGAUGGAUUCUCUGAAGUGGGGGAGUCUGGAGCGUGGAGCGUGAGGUGCAGCAGCGGGAAGGAACAUCCGAGAGAGCCAGGGGAUUGAGCGUGAGGAUCUCAAAGUCAGGUUGGGGUUCAGGCUAAGUCAGAGGGCUUUGGGAAACCCACCACAGAUUGCAAGAAAUGAGUUUGAACUUUCCUAGACCAUCGGGCCCAAGAGGGCACAGCAGCGCUCGCUGUGUCUAAAAGCCUCCUGAUGGCUCAGGUGGCUGUCGGGGGCAGACUUCUUACUCCCUGACCACAGCCCCUUGGCCAAGUCACUGAACUUACCCGGACCUCUCCCUGCUCCAGGGAGAGUAAAAACUUGUCCAUAAAGUAUCCCCACAGCGUCCACGCCCAGCAGCGGGCUGAGGACCAGGGAUGAGAAUAUUGGCCGACAGGGAGGGGAGGAGGAAGCGGAAGAGGGGUCAGUGGGGCCACGCGGGCAGUGGAAGGAAGGCUUUGCUGACUGGCCGUCACGACCUUCCAGCUACAGCACCUGACUCACCUUCGACAUCGCUCUGUCGCCGUGAAGCGCCUGACAACAGAACACAUAAAACGUGGAGGUUCUUUUUGUCCAGCAGAUUUGCUUUUCCGUCUCGGACACUGAAGGAGGAAAUGCUUCUGCUCUCCUGCCUCUGCCAUCUGCCCUCCCUAGACCCAAGGCGACUGUUUUUCUCUGUGCCUCCGCCCUCAGAUAGGCUGCCCGCCAUCCUACCCUGCCACGUGUCCUGGAGGUGUCACAGGAGCUGCAUGUGUUGGACAACCCAGGAGCCGAAACACCGUUCCUGGCCUUCUGCUCCACUGCACUAGCCAGUAUUUCUUUCCCUUCCUUUUACAGUCUGUUGGCCCAUGAAUUGACUAGAUGCUACUGCAUUUGCAUAAUGAGGGUUCAGGUGAAAAUGAUAAAAGUGAAAAGGCAACCUGGGGGUCUGAGCCGUGGGUUGACUCUAGGAUUGACCCUGUGACCUUGUGCGUGUGGCGUCCAACGUGAGCCUCGGGAGCUCCGUCCCUGGCUCCUGCCCAUGAGCAGCUCAGCAGCUCCAACAAUAGGCAUGGCUCUUGCCAAGGAAAGCUGGCUGAGAUCCUGGAGGGCAGCACCCGGCUGCUCCCACCUCCUGGGCAGGAAGCACGGGAUGGGUAAGAGCUCUGUAACCCACAGCAAGCCAACUGAGCUCCUGGGGGCCGCCCUACCCCGGGCAUGAGACUCGUGUGCUGACUUAAGCAGGGUAAGGCACUCUGUAAUCCAGUGCUGAAUUGAGUGGCAUGGAUUGUCACGGUCAGAAGAGCAGCGGGAAGGGCUGGGCGACAUAGGCAGGAGUGUCAUGGGUCUCUCGGGGUCAGGAGGGCUGAGCAUCUCAGGGUCUGUGCUUGGAAAGUUUUAAGUCGAUAGUAAAAUGCAAUUGUUUUGCCUCUUUUGAGUCAACAUUCAGUAGGUUCGAAGGCAGGUAGUAGUCGCUGCUAUCCACUGCCUAUCCAAGCAGACAUUUAUUUAUCCAACACUAACUCCAUGCUCUGCCCUGGCUAGAUGGUGGGGAAACACAAGGCUGAAGGACAUGGGGCCUUCCCUCAAGGAGCUCACCUUGAGGCUUGAGGCUUGAGGCUCAGGCUUACUGAUGCGUGCUCCCCUUUGCACUCGGUGCAUUGUCCCCAGGCAACCAAUCUCAUGACCAAGGUUAACCCCACCAAAUUGUUCCAACGAAAUUUGCAAGGAAAACAAGAAGUGAUGAUAUAACUGGAUGACACAAGGGUGAGUCCUUUUAUGAACUGCUGACCGCAAGCUUUUUGACAUCUUUUCCUCGUGGAAAGCAAAGGAAGCCCCAUCCAUCCCAGUUACCACCUCCUACCCACUAUACUAUGUCACUCAACACUGGAUGAUUAGGAGGCCUGCACUUGAGUUCUGGCACUACCUCUUCCAAUCUCGGGCAAGUUGCCACCAUUUUGUACCUCGGUUUCACCAACGGGAGACAAAACAUAACAACAACCAAAAAAACCUCAAAUAGCAAAAAUAGAAAAUACAUACCACAACAGCAAGCUAUUAAGUACUAAUAGUAUCCUCAUACGGGAGUUUCCAUAAAAGCCUAUUCCAGUGCUACAGCCUAAUCAAGUUGUGGUACACAGUUCCGAGCUAUACAAUCGAUGCUGGAGAACGUUAGAUUCUGAUCUUCCACAACCCAGCAGGGGCUCCACAAAUUCAUGCAAAACCA